rnacentral:rRNA from 1 species
UCAGUGAAUCAUCGAAUCUUUGAACGCACAUUGCGCCCCUUGGUAUUCCAUGGGGCAUGCCUGUUCGAGCGUCAU